rnacentral:rRNA from 1 species
CCUACGGGAGGCAGCAGUGAGGAAUAUUGGUCAAUGGACGCAAGUUUGAACCAGCCAUGCCGCGUGUAGGAAGACGGCUCUAUGAGUUGUAAACUGCUUUUGUACGAGCGUAAACGCAGAUACGGGCAUAUGACUGAAAGUAACGUUCGAAUCAGGAACGGCUAACUCUGGGACAGCAGCCGCGGUAAUACGGAGGAUUCAAGCGUUAUCCGGAUUUAUUGGGUGUAAAGGGUGUGUAGGCGGUCGGAUAAGUUAGAGGUGAAAUCCCGAGGCUCAACUUCGGAAUUGCCUCUGUUACUGUGCGGCUAGAGAGUAGUAGCGGUAAGCGGAAUGUAUGGUGUAGCGGUGAAAUUCUUAGAGAUCAUACAGAACACCGAUUGCGAAGGCAGCUUACCAGGCUACUUCUGACGUUGAGGCACGAAAGCAUGGGGAGCAAACAGGAUUAGAUACCCUUGUAGUC